AUUGAACGCUGGCGGCAUGCCUAACACAUGCAAGUCGAACGGAAACGAUGGGAGCUUGCUCCCAGGCGUCGAGUGGCGGACGGGUGAGUAAUACUUAGGAAUCUGCCCAGUAGUGGGGGACAACCCGGGGAAACCCGGGCUAAUACCGCGUAAUCUCUACGGAGGAAAGAGGGCCUCUUCUUGAAAGCUCUCGCUAUUGGAUGAGCCUAAGUCGGAUUAGCUUGUUGGUGGGGUAAAGGCCUACCAAGGCGACGAUCCGUAGCUGGUCUGAGAGGACGAUCAGCCACACUGGGACUGAGACACGGCCCAGACUCCUGCGGGAGGCAGCAGUGGGGAAUAUUGGACAAUGGGCGCAAGCCUGAUCCAGCGAUGCCGCGUGUGUGAAGAAGGCCUGCGGGUUGUAAAGCACUUUCAGUAGGGAAGAAAAGCCGAGUGCUAUAUCAUUCGGUCUUGACGUUACUUACAGAAAGAAGCACCGGCCAACUACGUGCCAGCAGCC
rnacentral:rRNA from 1 species